rnacentral:rRNA from 1 species
UGGGGAAUUUUGCACAAUGGGGGAAACCCUGAUGCAGCGACGCCGCGUGAUUUAGAAGGCCUUCGGGUUGUAAAAAUCUUUUCUAUGGGAAGAAAAUGACAGUACCAUAGGAAUAAGGACCGGCUAAUUACGUGCCAGCAGCCGCGGUAAUACGUAAGGUCCGAGCGUUGUCCGGAAUCAUUGGGCGUAAAGGGUACGUAGGCGGGUAAGCAAGUUAGAAGUGAAAUCCUGUAGCUCAACUACAGUAAGCUUUUAAAACUGCUCAUCUUGAGAUAUGGAAGGGAAAGUGGAAUUCCUAGUGUAGCGGUGAAAUGCGCAGAGAUAUGGAGGAACACCAGUGGCGAAGGCGACUUUCUGGUCUGUAACUGACGCUGAUGUGCGAAAGCGUGGGGAUCAAACAG